AGGUAAGCUACUAAGAGCGAAUGGUGGAUGCCUUGACUGGUAAAGGCGAUGAAGGACGUACUAGACUGCGAUAAGCUACGGGGAGCUGUCAAGAAGCUUUGAUCCGUAGAUUUCCGAAUGGGGCAACCCAAUGUAUAGAGAUAUACAUUACCUAUAUAGGAGCGAACGAGGGGAAUUGAAACAUCUUAGUACCCUCAGGAAAAGAAAUCAAUAGAGAUUGCGUCAGUAGCGGCGAGCGAAAGCGCAAGAGGGCAAACCCAGUGCUUGCACUGGGGGUUGUAGGACUGCAAUGUGCAAGAGCUGAGUUUAGCAGAACAUUCUGGAAAGUAUAGCCAUAGAGGGUGAUAGUCCCGUAUGCGAAAAACAAAGCUUAGCUAGCAGUAUCCUGAGUAGGGCGGGACACGAGGAAUCCUGUCUGAAUCCGGGUCGACCACGAUCCAACCCUAAAUACUAAUACCAGAUCGAUAGUGCACAAGUACCGUGAGGGAAAGGUGAAAAGAACUGAGGUGAUCAGAGUGAAAUAGAACCUGAAACCAUUUGCUUACAAUCAUUCAGAGCACUAUGUAGCAAUACAGUGUGAUGGACUGCCUUUUGCAUAAUGAGCCUGCGAGUUGUGGUGUCUGGCAAGGUUAAGCAAACGCGAAGCCGUAGCGAAAGCGAGUCUGAAUAGGGCGCUUAGUCAGAUGCUGCAGACCCGAAACGAAGUGAUCUAUCCAUGAGCAAGUUGAAGCUAGUGUAAGAACUAGUGGAGGACUGAACCCAUAGGCGUUGAAAAGCCCCGGGAUGACUUGUGGAUAGGGGUGAAAGGCCAAUCAAACUUCGUGAUAGCUGGUUCUCUCCGAAAUAUAUUUAGGUAUAGCGUUGUGUCGUAAUAUAAGGGGGUAGAGCACUGAAUGGGCUAGGGCAUACACCAAUGUACCAAACCCUAUCAAACUCCGAAUACCUUAUAUGUAAUCACAGCAGUCAGGCGGCGAGUGAUAAAAUCCGUCGUCAAGAGGGAAACAACCCAGACUACCAGCUAAGGUCCCUAAGUCUUACUUAAGUGGAAAACGAUGUGAAGUUACUUAAACAACCAGGAGGUUGGCUUAGAAGCAGCCAUCCUUUAAAGAAAGCGUAAUAGCUCACUGGUCUAGUGAUUUUGCGCGGAAAAUAUAACGGGGCUAAAGUAAGUACCGAAGCUGUAGACUUAGUUUACUAAGUGGUAGGAGAGCGUUCUAUUUGCGUCGAAGGUAUACCGGUAAGGAGUGCUGGAGCGAAUAGAAGUGAGCAUGCAGGCAUGAGUAGCGAUAAUUAAUGUGAGAAUCAUUAACGCCGUAAACCCAAGGUUUCCUACGCGAUGCUCGUCAUCGUAGGGUUAGUCGGGUCCUAAGUCGAGUCCGAAAGGGGUAGACGAUGGCAAAUUGGUUAAUAUUCCAAUACCAACAUUAGUGUGCGAUGGAAGGACGCUUAGGGCUAAGGGGGCUAGCGGAUGGAAGUGCUAGUCUAAGGUCGUAGGAGGUUAUACAGGCAAAUCCGUAUAACAAUACUCCGAGAACUGAAAGGCUUUUUGAAGUCUUCGGAUGGAUAGAAGAACCCCUGAUGCCGUCGAGCCAAGAAAAGUUUCUAAGUUUAGCUAAUGUUGCCCGUACCGUAAACCGACACAGGUGGGUGGGAUGAGUAUUCUAAGGCGCGUGGAAGAACUCUCUUUAAGGAACUCUGCAAAAUAGCACCGUAUCUUCGGUAUAAGGUGUGGUUAGCUUUGUAUUAGGAUUUACUCCGAAAGCAAGGAAACUUACAACAAAGAGUCCCUCCCGACUGUUUACCAAAAACACAGCACUCUGCUAACUCGUAAGAGGAUGUAUAGGGUGUGACGCCUGCCCGGUGCUCGAAGGUUAAUUGAUGGGGUUAGCAUUAGCGAAGCUCUUGAUCGAAGCCCGAGUAAACGGCGGCCGUAACUAUAACGGUCCUAAGGUAGCGAAAUUCCUUGUCGGUUAAAUACCGACCUGCAUGAAUGGCGUAACGAGAUGGGAGCUGUCUCAAAGAGGGAUCCAGUGAAAUUGUAGUGGAGGUGAAAAUUCCUCCUACCCGCGGCAAGACGGAAAGACCCCGUGGACCUUUACUACAGCUUGACACUGCUACUUGGAUAAGAAUGUGCAGGAUAGGU
rnacentral:rRNA from 1 species